rnacentral:lncRNA from 1 species
CAAUCUCAGAAAAAUAUUAAGGGGAAAGUUAUUAAAUGUCUAUAUCAAUACUUUAUCAGAAACACUUGGUAUUCUCAAUUUUUGAUGGUAUGUGUAUGUAUGCUCAGUCAAUAAGUCAUGUCUGACUCUUUUGUGACCCCAUGGACUGUAGCUGGCCAGGAUCUUCUGAUGAUGGGAGUUCCCAGACAACAAUACUGGUGUGGAUUGCCAUUUCCUCUUUCAGGGGAUCUUCCAAGCCCAAGAAUUGAACGUGCAUCUCCUGUGUCUCCUGUGCUAGCAAGUGGAUUCUUUAUUACUGAGCUACCUGGGAAGGACUUUGAUGCCUAGAUCAACAAGGUAUAGCAAAGAAUUCUGAGAGUGCCAGGCUGCGACAGUGCAGGAAUGGCCGGGAGGAGCUACCCCGCGUCCAAGGUCAGAGGUCAGAGGUGGUGGCCGGGAGGAGACACCCCACAUCCGAGGUCAGGGGCGGUGGCUGAGAGGAGCUACCCCGCGUCUGAGGUCAGUGGCGGCUGGGAGGAGACACCCCACAUCUGAGGUCAGGGCAGUGGCCAGGAGGAGCUACCCCACGUCCCAGGCAGUGGCGGCUGGGAGGAGGCACCCCACGUCUGAGUUCAGGGGCGGACGGGAGAAGCCACCUCGUGCCUGAGGCCGGGGCAGUGACCCUAAGGAGCCACUCUGAGCCUGAGGCCAGGGGCAGCAGCUGGGAGAGGCCACCCAUGCCCGAGGCCAGGGCCGGCGGCCUGGAGGAAUAACCCAAGGAGCAGUGGCUGCACAGUUGCAGGAGGGCCUAGAGGAGCUAUCCCAAGUUGAAGGUCAGGAACAGCGGAGGUAAGGAGAUACCCCUCAACCAAGGUAAGGAGCAGCGGCUGUGCUUUGCUGGAGCAGCUGUGAAGAGAUACCCCAUGCCAAGGUAAGAGAAACCCAAGUAAGAUGGUAGGUGUUGCAAAAGGGCAUCAGAGGGCAGACACACUGAAACCAUAAUCAUAGAAAGCUAGUCAAUCUGAUCACACUAGGACCACAGCCUUGUCUAACUCAAUGAAACCAAGCCAUGCCUGCGGGGUCACACAAGACGGGCGGGUCAUGGUGCAGAGGUCUGACAGAAUGUGGUCCACUGGAGAAGGGAAUGGCAAGCCACUUCAGUAUUCUUGCCUUGAGAACCCCAUGAACAGUAUGAAAAGGCAAAAUGAUAG